GAUAUUUUUUACUGUUCGGUUCCUUGUGACCGCCCAUAGUUUUGCUCCGUAAGGGAUUUUUGGAGUGUGGUGGACUGUUGAGUUGAAGUCUCCUCUUCUUUUCCAUCUAGAAGAAUAAACCUCGGGUACUCUAUAAGUAAGGACCGUCUUAGAGCUCAUUUAGAGCCUGCUUAAUGACUUACAGAUUCGUUGGAUUAUACGAGGUUACGAACUAUUAAAACAACUGAAAUUUAUUAAAAUCUUAACAGGAAAUUAAGUAUCGCAAGCUUUGAUAUUACAAGGCCUUUUUCAAUUUAUAUCUUUGCCUGAUCUCUA